GGCAUGGAUUUUAUUUCAGGCCAAAGGGCAGAGGGCGGGGAGCCCUUCCCUCUCUGGGCAGCACACGAGCGUAUCAGCCAUCAGAUUUUUCAUCCUAACAGAGGGGCAGGCGCAGGAACCGGAAGACCUGUGGAGGGAGACGGGGGGCGGAAGAGAAGAUGCCGGGCCUGAACCACAGAGGAGAAGGGCGCCCGUUGUUCAACUCCCAUGACCUCAGGCAGAGGUGGACCUGACCCUGCCCCGGCCUGGAGCAGAAAAGGGGGACCACGCUCCCUGCUCACCAUGUGGUCACAGGAAGGGGCUGAGCGCACUGGGACAGCGACGCAGGACAGCUCAUCCCCGGUGUCCUGGUGCAACAAUGGGGCGCUGUGGCAGCCAAAGGGUUAACACCAGGUACUGUCGUUAAAAAAUCCAAUCUCUGGCCUCCAGGUUUUGGAGGCAUUUCUCUGCGGAACAGAUCAGAUCAGAUCAGCAGGCUGCCUUUUGUUAUUUCCUAGAGCUCAGAGGGGUUGGGUCGUCAUCAGGCCCCAUAACGCGGAGCUGAAAGGGACAGAGCCUUGGCAGGUUCCAACUGUGGUCCC